rnacentral:rRNA from 1 species
CCUUUUGUAUAAUGGGUCAGCGACUUAUAUUCUGUAGCAAGGUUAACCGAAUAGGGGAGCCGAAGGGAAACCGAGUCUUAACUGGGCGUUAAGUUGCAGGGUAUAGACCCGAAACCCGGUGAUCUAGCCAUGGGCAGGUUGAAGGUUGGGUAACACUAACUGGAGGACCGAACCGACUAAUGUUGAAAAAUUAGCGGAUGACUUGUGGCUGGGGGUGAAAGGCCAAUCAAACCGGGAGAUAGCUGGUUCUCCCCGAAAGCUAUUUAGGUAGCGCCUCGUGAAUUCAUCUCCGGGGGUAGAGCACUGUUUCGGCAAGGGGGUCAUCCCGACUUACCAACCCGAUGCAAACUGCGAAUACCGGAGAAUGUUAUCACGGGAGACACACGGCGGGUGCUAACGUCCGUCGUGAAGAGGGAAACAACCCAGACCGCCAGCUAAGGUCCCAAAGUCAUGGUUAAGUGGGAAACGAUGUGGGAAGGCCCAGACAGCCAGGAUGUUGGCUUAGAAGCAGCCAUCAUUUAAAGAAAGCGUAAUAGCUCACUGGUCGAGUCGGCCUGCGCGGAAGAUGUAACGGGGCUAAACCAUGCACCGAAGCUGCGGCAGCGACGCUUAUGCGUUGUUGGGUAGGGGAGCGUUCUGUAAGCCUGUGAAGGUGUACUGUGAGGUAUGCUGGAGGUAUCAGAAGUGCGAAUGCUGACAUAAGUAACGAUAAAGCGGGUGAAAAGCCCGCUCGCCGGAAGACCAAGGGUUCCUGUCCAACGUUAAUCGGGGCAGGGUGAGUCGACCCCUAAGGCGAGGCCGAAAGGCGUAGUCGAUGGGAAACAGGUUAAUAUUCCUGUACUUGGUGUUACUGCGAAGGGGGGACGGAGAAGGCUAUGUUGGCCGGGCGACGGUUGUCCCGGUUUAAGCGUGUAGGCUGGUUUUCCAGGCAAAUCCGGAAAAUCAAGGCUGAGGCGUGAUGACGAGGCACUACGGUGCUGAAGCAACAAAUGCCCUGCUUCCAGGAAAAGCCUCUAAGCAUCAGGUAACAUCAAAUCGUACCCCAAACCGACACAGGUGGUCAGGUAGAGAAUACCAAGGCGCUUGAGAGAACUCGGGUGAAGGAACUAGGCAAAAUGGUGCCGUAACUUCGGGAGAAGGCACGCUGAUAUGUAGGUGAAGCGACUUGCUCGUGGAGCUGAAAUCAGUCGAAGAUACCAGCUGGCUGCAACUGUUUAUUAAAAACACAGCACUGUGCAAACACGAAAGUGGACGUAUACGGUGUGACGCCUGCCCGGUGCCGGAAGGUUAAUUGAUGGGGUCAGCGCAAGCGAAGCUCUUGAUCGAAGCCCCGGUAAACGGCGGCCGUAACUAUAACGGUCCUAAGGUAGCGAAAUUCCUUGUCGGGUAAGUUCCGACCUGCACGAAUGGCGUAAUGAUGGCCAGGCUGUCUCCACCCGAGACUCAGUGAAAUUGAACUCGCUGUGAAGAUGCAGUGUACCCGCGGCAAGACGGAAAGACCCCGUGAACCUUUACUAUAGCUUGACACUGAACAUUGAGCCUUGAUGUGUAGGAUAGGUGGGAGGCUUUGAAGUGUGGACGCCAGUCUGCAUGGAGCCGACCUUGAAAUACCACCCUUUAAUGUUUGAUGUUCUAACGUGGACCCGUAAUCCGGGUUGCGGACAGUGUCUGGUGGGUAGUUUGACUGGGGCGGUCUCCUCCUAAAGAGUAACGGAGGAGCACGAAGGUUGGCUAAUCCUGGUCGGACAUCAGGAGGUUAGUGCAAUGGCAUAAGCCAGCUUGACUGCGAGCGUGACGGCGCGAGCAGGUGCGAAAGCAGGUCAUAGUGAUCCGGUGGUUCUGAAUGGAAGGGCCAUCGCUCAACGGAUAAAAGGUACUCCGGGGAUAACAGGCUGAUACCGCCCAAGAGUUCAUAUCGACGGCGGUGUUUGGCACCUCGAUGUCGGCUCAUCACAUCCUGGGGCUGAAGUAGGUCCCAAGGGUAUGGCUGUUCGCCAUUUAAAGUGGUACGCGAGCUGGGUUUAGAACGUCGUGAGACAGUUCGGUCCCUAUCUGCCGUGGGCGCUGGAGAACUGAGGGGGGCUGCUCCUAGUACGAGAGGACCGGAGUGGACGCAUCACUGGUGUUCGGGUUGUCAUGCCAAUGGCACUGCCCGGUAGCUAAAUGCGGAAGAGAUAAGUGCUGAAAGCAUCUAAGCACGAAACUUGCCCCGAGAUGAGUUCUCCCUGACUCCUUGAGAGUCCUGAAGGAACGUUGAAGACGACGACGUUGAUAGGCCGGGUGUGUAAGCGCAGCGAUGCGUUGAGCUAACCGGUACUAAUGAACCGUGAGGCUUAACCUU